UGUUAGAGAAAUAUAUAUUUUCAAUUUUAAUUUAAUCUAGAAAAUCACAGUGAUGUAUGUGACGACAUGUAUGUGCAUAUGUGUAUCACUACUCACAUAAGCAGUAAACAACAGUAAAAUAUGCACAAAUACUAAGAAUAUAGUUUACCCUACGGAGGGACCGAUUGUGGCAAGAAAACCAGCUGCGCGUCCUCGUCGUAGCGAGCCCUGGAAUUGUGCCAAGAAAACCAGCUGCGCGUCCUCGUCGUAGCGAGCCUCGCCAUCUGGCUGAGGUUCUCCAUCUGGCUGGCCUACCUGGGCAGCGACGCCGUGCCCAUCUACGCCCUCGCCACCCUCUUCAACUCCCACCGGUGCGACACCGGCAGCAGCAGCCGUGCCGGCGUGGAGUUCCUGUGGGCGUCAAUCAUGUUGGUGCACCUGGGCGGCCAGGACAGCAUCACGGCCUACAACAUCGAAGACAACGAGCUAUGGCGACGGCAUGUCUUUACAGCGGUGUCUCAGUAAAAUAUGGAUGUUGGGACCAUGCUUCGUCGCCAAAGGUCCUGCAGGAAGAAAUAGCUUCGGCUAAAGUUGCUUAUACAUGAUGACCGAAGCUACCACUCAUGAAGCUUCGGUGUUAUAGCAUGUCCGAAGACGAAGGAUCGAACCGAUUUAAAAAUAGAAUGACCUUUUAGUCCAUAAGGGUCUGAGUCAUUUUUAUAAACUUUUAUAAGGGGCAUGAUUGUAAUUCCUUACAGACUGUGUCCUAUGUCUAUAAAUAGUGAACAAUAUUCCUUUA